UGGCCCAUUCUAUUGAGGCCCAUGAAGUACUUCAAAAUAAGUAUUUAAAGGGAAAAAAUUCCUCUUCCUUACAUAUGUAACUUGUCUAAACAAUGAAGUGAUAUAUGGUUAAGUGGAGGAAACCUUGGUUAGGUCUUCUACAAUUUUUGUGAAUCUUCAAGAAGGUUUUAAUCUCUAGUAAUGGCUUUAAGAGGAAUUGAUGGACAUGCUGUAUGUGAAGGUCCAAUUGAGCAGGUGGUCAGAACAGAGACUAGAGAAGCUGAAGAUUUAUUGAAAAAAUUGGAUAUUCUGAGUCCUCCUUUGUCAAGAAAUUCAGCUCGUGGAAUAUUUUGCUCCCGGUCCCUCAAUCUAAGGUCAAUUAGUGCCAUUGGAUAUGACAUGGACUAUACCUUGGUGCAUUAUAAUGUGAAGGCUUGGGAAGGGCUGGCCUAUGACUACUGUAUGGAAAACCUCAAGAAAAUGGGUUUCCCUGUGGAUGGACUUACAUUUGAUCCAGACCUGGUUAUUAGAGGUCUUGUCAUAGAUAGAGAGAGAGGUAAUUUGGUUAAAGCCGAUCGAUUUGGUUGUAUAAAAAGAGCCAUGCAUGGAACCAAGAUGUUGUCUACUCAAGCUGUGAGGGAGAUAUAUGGGAGUGAGCUGGUGGACUUGCGGAUAGAGGGUCGAUGGGUGUUUUUGAGCACAUUCUUCUCCGUGUCGGAAGCUGUGGCUUACAUGCAGAUGGUUGACAUAUUGGAUGAUGGGAUUAUACCAGCCAAUCUUGGAUACUUUGAUUAUAAAGGGCUUUAUAAGGCUAUGGGAAUAGCCCUUGUCACAGCACAUCUAGAAGGUCACCUCAAGAAUGAGAUUAUGUCCAACCCUGAACAAUUUGUGGAGCUCGAUCCAGAAUUGCCCGUCACGCUUUUGGAUCAAAAGGAGGCCGGAAAAAAGCUUGUCCUCAUUACCAAUUCAGAUUAUCAUUAUACAGACAAAAUGAUGCGUUAUUCCUUUAAUAGAUUCCUUCCUAGUGACAUGGGUUGGCGAGAUUUAUUUGACAUUAUUGUUGUCUCAGCAAACAAACCAGAAUUCUUCCAAAUAUCACACCCCAUGUAUGAGCUGGUGACAGAUGAGGGUUUGAUGCGUCCAUGCUUUAAGGUUCAAAUUGGUGGUUUGUACUCAGGAGGGAGUGCAAAGAUGGUUGAAAGUUCCCUGAAUAUACAUGGCAAUAACAUACUUUACAUUGGAGACCACAUUUACACUGAUGUUAACCAAUCCAAAGUCAAUUUGCAAUGGCGAACAGCAUUGAUAUGUCGGGAAUUAGAAGAAGAAUAUAAUGCCUUAAUUCAUAGUCGAGGUUAUAGACAAUCACUGUUGGAGCUUAUAAAUCAAAAGGAAGUUGUUGGUGAUAUCCUUAACCAACUACAACUAACUCUACAGAGGCGAAGUAAAAGGCUUAAUGCUCAGACCAUUGCUGCAACUGACAUGGACAAUGAAAAUCUUAGUCAAAGCAUGAAGAAAUUACUUGUCGUUAUGCAAAAACUAGAUGGAAAAAUUGCUCCAAUGCUAGAGGCAGAUGGAGCUCUCUUCAAUAAAAGUCGCAUCACCUCCAGAAACGCCAUGUGCCACCAUCAACAUGAGCACAUAUGACCCACACCCUGUUCCAGAGACACCCACUUGUCGCUGCUGCUACCGAAGACAGGCUUGCAGAGAUCCCUAGUGCCAUCCCAAAAGUGGGGAGCCAACAUAUUCGGAGGAUUCUAAAGGAUGGUCAAGAUCAUACCACAUCAAUGGUAGAAAAUGACCCUAAUUUUGAGAUAAUGGACAUUCAUUGAUCCUCGAUGUGGCAUUCCAUGGUUCCUGAAGGUCGUUGUAUUUCAAGAAGAACUCAAGUAAAUAUUUAAUAUGCAGACCAGGCCAAUUAUUGAUUGAUAGACACCAACUAGUGGGUACUGCUCAUUUAUUUGAGGGAACCUAGUUACUUGGAGAAUUGAAAAAUAACUUGUGGUUGCUAGGAGUUGUGCAGAAGUUCAGUUCAGAUCCAUGGCCCACGCAAUUUGUGAAGGAAUAUGGAUACGAAGAAUGCUUGAGGAGCUUAAGGAGAAGAUUGAUGAUGGGAUAAUUAACCUUGUGCAAACUCCUAGUCAUCAAACUGUUGAUAUUUUGACCAAGGUUCUGCCUAGAGCAAACUAUUUGAACUUGAGAUCCAAGUUGCACAUGAUUCACAUCUAUGACCCAACUUGAGGUGGGGCUAUCUAUCACGUGGUGAUUUUUGGGAUAAAAGCCACUUGAUGCGACAAAUUGAGAA